rnacentral:lncRNA from 1 species
CAAGUAUGAGUCCUGUAUUUCUCGAUCUUCCUGUUUGAGCAGAAAGCUGAGUCCCCUUUCUUCCUGACUUGUUCCUCCAUUCUGCUGGCCAAAACUACCAUCGAGAUCUCCAUCUUCUGGGGUCAGACAUCUCCAGGAUGGUGCAGCCAUAGUGGUGAUGCAGUGUUGAGUAUAUGAGACUGGAUUUACGGUACCUACUUGUUCUGGAUCAAGACCAAUAAUAGAGGGUUUUCGUCCAAUGCGAAUGCUGAACGACCUCCCUGCUGAGGUAGUGUUUUUGGGGUAUGACACCUCCAUGAGGUUAAUAUGGCAGUUGGUGGGGCAGAAAUCCAUGCUGUUGAGAGAAUGUGGUUCCAUGAUGGCUUGUUUGAAGGCUGGGCUCACC